rnacentral:rRNA from 1 species
GCCUACGGGGCGCAGCAGUCGGGAAUAUUGCGCAAUGGAGGAAACUCUGACGCAGUGACGCCGCGUAUAGGAAGAAGGUCUUCGGAUUGUAAACUAUUGUCAUUAGGGAAGAGAAAGGACAGUACCUAAAGAGGAAGCUCCGGCUAACUACGUGCCAGCAGCCGCGGUAAUACGGAGGAUGCGGGCGUUAUCCGGAUUUAUUGGGUUUAAAGGGUGCGUAGGCGGGCUGUUAAGUCAGCGGUCAAAUGUCGGGGCUCAACCCCGGCCUGCCGUUGAAA